UUUCUUUGGCAGCACACAAACUAGAAUUGGAAUGAUACAGAGAAGAUUAGAACGGCCCUUAUGCAAUGAUGACAUGCAAAUUUGUGAAGCACUCCAUAUUUUA